rnacentral:rRNA from 1 species
UACAGAGGCCACAAGCGUUAGUCGGAAUCACUGGGCUUAAAGGGUGCGUAGGCGGCCUGCCAAGUGUCUUGUGAAAUACCUUAGCUCAACUAAGGAACAGCAGGGCAUACUGGUAGGCUCGAGGCAGGUAAGGGUCGCUGGAACAGUAGGUGGAGCGGUGAAAUGCGUAGAUAUCUACUGGAACGCCGAUGGUGAAGACGAGCGACUAGGCCUGACCUGACGCUGAGGCACGAAAGCGUGGGGAGCAAACAGG